GGACAGGCAGGCACUGGAGCACCCUGGGGGCAGGCAGGCACUGGAGGACCCUGGGGGACAGGCAGGCAGUGGAGGACCCUGGAGGCAGGCACUGGAGGAUUCCGGGGGACAGGCAGGCAGUGGAGGACCCUGGGGGCAGGCACUGGAGGACCCUGGGGGCAAGCACUGGAGGACUCUGGGGGACAGGCAGGCAGUGGAGGACCCUGGGGGCAGGCACUGGAGGACCCUGGGGGCAAGCACUGGAGGACUCUGGGGGACAGGCAGGCAGUGGAGGACCCUGGGGGAUAGGCAGGCAGUGGAGGACCCUGGGGACAGGCAGGCAGUUAAGGACCCUUCGGGGGGCAGGCACUGGAGGACCCUGGGGGACAGGCAGGAGGUACAGCCCCACUUUGUUCCAACUGGAGCAGUAGCCAGACCUGUUUCCAGGUUAAGGAGACAUCAUCUGUCCAUCCUCCACCCACCUCCCAAUCCGUUCUCAUAGCAGGACACUGGGCACUGCGUGGAAUUGUUUCAUUACUUUCGACAUGUGACACCUGAUGAGGAAGUUCAUCUCCUUUGCUCUUCUGUGUUCGAGGCAGAGGAGGUCCUGGGACCCUCCACAUUAUCCCCUUGAGGUG
rnacentral:lncRNA from 1 species